rnacentral:lncRNA from 1 species
GUCUGGGAGCUGCUGAGUGCCCUGUGGAGGUGGACCCAGGUGCGGGGCUGGCUACGGAAGCUCAGUGCUGUAGUCCAACUGUCCCUUGUGGGCACUGCGACCGUGGCCUUGUUCCUGAUUAGCCUGGUGCCGUACUCCUACGUGGAGCCCGGGACCCACGGGCGCCUCUGGACCGGGGCCCACCGCCUGUUUGGUGCCGUGGAGCACCUACAGCUGGCCAACUCCUACGGCCUCUUCCGCCGCAUGACUGGGCUUGGUGGACGGCCUGAGGUGGUGCUGGAGGGCAGUUACGACGGCCACCACUGGACGGAGAUCGAGUUCAUGUACAAGCCUGGGAACCUGAGCCGGCCGCCCCCGGUUGUGGUGCCCCACCAGCCACGCCUGGACUGGCAGAUGUGGUUUGCAGCCCUGGGCCCACACACGCACAGCCCGUGGUUCACAAGCCUGGUCUUGCGCCUGCUGCAGGGCAAGGAGCCAGGUGCGGAGCGGGCUUGGGGGGUGUGGAGUGGGCUGGGGUGGAGCGGGGUGGGGAGGGGAGGGGCAGGGCGGGUACUGUGGGGGCCACGCUGAUGCCUCUCGCUGCAGUGAUCCGCCUUGUCCAGAGCCAAGUGGCCAGGUAUCCCUUCCACAAGCAGCCGCCCACCUACGUCCGAGCCCAGCGCUACAAGUACUGGUUCUCCCAGCCUGGGGAGCAGGGCCAGUGGUGGCGGCGCCAGUGGGUGGAGGAGUUCUUCCCAUCCGUGUCCCUGGGGGACCCCACGCUGGAGACGCUGCUCAGGCAGUUUGGACUACAGGAGAAAAGCCCACCUCGCACCCGCAGCGCCAACAGCACCCUGGCCCAGGCCCUCCACUGGACUCGCUCUCAGCUGUCUCCCCUGGAGGCCCCCGCCCUGCUCUGGGGGCUCCUCAUGGCCGUGGGGGCUGUCAGAUUUGUGCAAGCCCUGCUAGCACCCUGUUCUCUCCGGUCCUCCCCGCUGGCACCAGUCAGCGGGGAGAAGCGCAGGCCAGCCUCCCAGAAAGACUCCGGAGCUGCCUCCGAACAGGCCACCGCAGCCCCCAACCCCUGCUCCAGUAGUUCGAGGACCACCCGGCGAAAGAAGUAGCUGUGUUCUCCCAGCUGCACGUCCUGAGAGGGCCAGGUCGCCGGGAGUGCUCUGGCCUCCGGCAGGACAGGACCCAGCCACUGUGCCUUAGCUGACCCUGCAGGGCCAGGCACAGGUUGGGGGGCUGCCC